UAGGGAAUCUUCCGCAAUGGGCGAAAGCCUGUCGGAGCAACGCCGCGUGAGUGAUGAAGGUCUUCGGAUCUUAAAACUCUGUUAUUAGGGAAGAACAAAUGUGUAAGUAACUAUGCACGUCUUGACGGUACCUAAUCAGAAAGCCACGGCUAACUACGUGCCAGCAGCCGCGGUAAUACGUAGGUGGCAAGCGUUAUCCGGAUUUAUUGGGCGUAAAGCGCGCGUAGGCGGUUUUUUAAGUCUGAUGUGAAAGCCCACGGCUCAAACGUGGAGGGUCAUUGGAAACUGGAAAACUUGGGUGCAGGAGGAGAAAGGGGAAUUCCAUGUGUAGGCGUGAAAUGCGCAGAGAUAUGGGGGAAAAACAGUGGCGAAAGCGACUUUCUGGUCUGUAACUGGCGCUGAUGGGCGAAAGGGAGGGGAUCAAACAAG
rnacentral:rRNA from 1 species